ACCAGACUCCUACGGGAGGCAGCAGUGGGGGAUAUUGGACAAUGGGGGAAACCCUGAUCCAGCGACGCCGCGUGAGUGAAGAAGUAUUUCGGUAUGUAAAGCUCUGUCAGCAGGGAAGAAAGAAAUGACGGUACCUGACCAAGAAGCCCCGGCUAACUACGUGCCAGCAGCCGCGGUCAUACGUAGGAUCCGAGCAUUAUCCGGAGUGACUGGGUGUAAAGAGUUGCGUAGGUGGCAUAGUAAGUAGCUAGUGAAAUCUGGUGGCUCAACCAUUCAGACUAUUAGCUAAACUGCUAAGCUCGAGACCGUUAGGGGUAACUGGAAUUUCUAGUGUAGGAGUGAAAUCCGUAGAUAUUAGAAGGAACACCGAUAGCGUAGGCAGGUUACUGGGACGGUUCUGACACUAAGGCACGAAAGCGUAGGGAGCAAACGGGAUUAGAUACCCCCGUAAC
rnacentral:rRNA from 1 species